GGCUCCUUUUAGCCCUGUCAGCACAACGCUGGUGAGGCUGAUGUGGCACGGAGCUCCAUUCUGCCCACCGAGCACAAACAAAGCCAACACUAGCCAGACCAGCACACAUUGCAUCUGGCAUUCCUGGUGACUGGACCUAAGGUGCACCUUCACAUGGAUCAGGUGUCAAAAAUGGUAAAACGAUUCUUCUGGAUAUCUGCCCCAAAACAACAGGUAUUUACUAGAGGAAGAGGAGGGAAGAGAAACGAAUAUGAAGUGCAAACAUCAAGUUCAGCACCUUAUUCUGUGUGGGGAAUAUCAAUCUAUAUCUCCCAUUUUCUGAGAAAGAAGCAUUCAAACUUUUUGGUUUCUUGUAUCUGGAACCAAAACCCAAGCUAAUUCAUUUGGGUAAAAAAAGAACUACCACAAAAAAGGAGCAAAUGUUUUUAUCAAAACCACAUUUCCAGCAGCUGAACUGGAACUUCCCAUAUUCCCACAGAAUCACAUCAAACUGCUCUAAACGCUCACAAGUUCUGCAGAGCACCGUCAAAACAGAGGCUGGAAUACCUGCCACCUCGAGGCACCGCUGAGUCUGGGGAAGCGGUUGCAAAGGUCACGAGCUCAUAGAUGCCUUCAGAUCUCACAUGAAGCUACUUGAUCUUGGUGAUCCGUAAUGCAGACCUCAUAGCAUAUAUGCUCUUCGCUUUCAAAUUUGUUUAGGCUACUCCUUUAAGAUUUUUUUGUCCAACUCUGCAGAAAAAAGGGAAAGCUGAGUUAUGACUGAUAUUGAAAUGACACUUCCAGUCAGUCAGUGAAAACGUUUAACUCUUGAAUCUGACUCAUACAAGGGCACCAGUUAUAAAGCAUUGUGUUGUGCAGUCAGAAGGUAAAAAUGGAAGCUAUGGAAAAAGCAGCUUCCAUCUUACACAGAGAAAUCAGGGCAGAGUUUUGGAGGCUGCUACUGGGCAGAACAAAGGUUUUUCUUCUGCAUCAUCUCAUUUUUGCCGCUUCACAUAUUGGAGGUAGCAGAUGAAGAGUGAGCCAGGCAUUAAAACGCUACCUAAGUCAGGACUUUAUGCUUUCACACAGUGAUUCAAUUAAUCAAAGUUUUUGCCAUAAAAUUCAAGCGGCAAUGCUCAAAGCCAAGUCAAGUCACAAAAUACAAGCUGAUUAAUUUCCCUCUAAUUUGUAUGAUAAUUAAAAUUCCAACUUUUAAUUCUGUUAAUUGUCCUCCCACAAGGAGGUUGAUUGGGCUUUGCUAAUACAUGCUGUGAAAAUGCACUUCCCACAGGUCUGUCUUUGUUUCCUUUAAAAUGUAAUGCUUUUACAUAAUUAUCCCUUAACUUCUAUAGAUAAAUGUAAGCUUAUCUUUGGCCUAUUCUGACACAAGUCUCUGUGUAACUUAAGCUGUGCCAAUAAAUCAAAUGCUGAAAGUCA
rnacentral:lncRNA from 1 species